AUCUUCACGAGGAUGGUAGGAUUCGCUAGAAACCUUGAUCCAUUGAUCGUUAGGAUCAUUAUUUUUAACAAAUUUAUAUUAGGGCUAAUCAAAAUUCUAUCUACACGUUUCAUGCGAGUUGCACAACAAGCCAUUAAUAAAAUUCAUGUUGGAAAACGAUAACGCAUCACAAUGGUGUCACCGGACUAAUUGCGAUUUCGCGUGAUCAGCAGAAAGCAUGCCCGAAAAAUAAGUCGGAAUACAUGAAAAUUAACUGACACACACACGU